rnacentral:rRNA from 1 species
CUGAAGUAUGUUACCGCAAGGAGCGUCCUAAGGUAAGACCGGUGACUGGGGCUAAGUCGUAACAAGGUAGCCGUACCGGAAGGUGCGGCUGGAACACCUCCUUU